AACGAACGCUGGCGGCGUGCUUAACACAUGCAAGUUGAACGAGAGGCAGUAGCAAUACUGUAGUAAAGUAGCAGACGGGUGAGUAACACGUGGGAAACUUCCUUUUAGUAAAGAAUAGCCCAGGGAAACUUGGAUUAAUACUUUAUACGCCCUACGGGGGAAGAUUUAUCGCUAAAAGAUGUGCCCGCGUUAGAUUAGGUAGUUGGUGGGGUAAUGGCCUACCAAGCCUACGAUCUAUAGCUGGUCUGAGAGGAUGAUCAGCCACACUGGGACUGAGACACGGCCCAGACUCCUACGGGAGGCAGCAGUGGGGAAUAUUGGACAAUGGGCGCAAGCCUGAUCCAGCAACGCCGCGUGAAUGAUGAAGGCC
rnacentral:rRNA from 1 species